GAAAUGCGAUAAGUAAUGUGAAAUGCAGAAUUCAGUGAAUCAUCGAAUCUUUGAACGCACAUUGCGCCCCCUGGUAUUCCGGGGGGCAUGCCUGUUCGAGCGUCAUUUCACCACUCAAGCCUCGCUUGGUAUUGGGCAACGCGGUCCGCCGCGUGCCUCAAAUCGACCGGCUGGGUCUUCUGUCCCCUAAGCGUUGUGGAAACUAUUCGCUAAAGGGUGUUCGGGAGGCUACGCCGUAAAACAACCCCAUUUCUAAGGUUGACCUCGGAUCAGGUAGGGAUACCCGCUGAACUUAAGC
rnacentral:misc_RNA from 1 species